rnacentral:rRNA from 1 species
GAUGAACGCUGGCGGCGUGCCUAACACAUGCAAGUCGAACGGAGAUUACGGACGGAAGUUUUCGGAUGGAAGACUGUACUUCUUAGUGGCGGACGGGUGAGUAACGCGUGGGCAACCUGCCCUAUACAGGGGGAUAGCAGCUGGAAACGGCUGGUAAGACCGCCUAAGUCGGUUAAAUCGCAUGAUUUGAUCGGGAAAUGAGCAAUCAGGUAUAGGAUGGGCCCGCGUCCGAUUAGCCAGUUGGCAGGGUAAAAGCCUACCAAAGCGACGAUCGGUAGCCGGACUGAGAGGUCGGACGGCCACAUUGGGACUGAGACACGGCCCAAACUCCUACGGGAGGCAGCAGUGGGGGAUAUUGCACAAUGGAGGAAACUCUGAUGCAGCGACGCCGCGUGAGUGAAGAAGUAUUUCGGUAUGUAAAGCUCUAUCAGCAGGGAAGAUGAUGACGGUACCUGACUAAGAAGCCCCGGCUAACUACGUG